GGUGGUUCUCGGGUGACACACCCUGGAAUCGGGCUCCCUCUUCUCUAGCCGGGUGCAUCACCCGAGAACCACA
rfam:Myotis brandtii contig231171, whole genome shotgun sequence.